GAUGAACGCUGGCGGCGUGCCUAAUACAUGCAAGUCGAGCGAACAGAUGAGGAGCUUGCUCCUUUGACGUUAGCGGCGGACGGGUGAGUAACACGUGGAUAACCUACCUAUAAGACUGGGAUAACUCCGGGAAACCGGAGCUAAUACCGGAUAACAUAUUGAACCGCAUGGUUCAAUAGUGAAAGACGGCUUUGCUGUCACUUAUAGAUGGAUCCGCGCCGCAUUAGCUAGUUGGUAAGGUAACGGCUUACCAAGGCAACGAUGCGUAGCCGACCUGAGAGGGUGAUCGGCCACACUGGAACUGAGACACGGUCCAGACUCCUACGGGAGGCAGCAGUAGGGAAUCUUCCGCAAUGGGCGAAAGCCUGACGGAGCAACGCCGCGUGAGUGAUGAAGGUCUUCGGAUCGUAAAACUCUGUUAUUAGGGAAGAACAAAUGUGUAAGUAACUGUGCACGUCUUGACGGUACCUAAUCAGAAAGCCACGGCUAACUACGUG
rnacentral:rRNA from 1 species